CAGAUUUCAUGAACAGUUCAUCAUAUCUUCAUGAACAUUUGAUGAGCAAUUCAUGAACUGAAAAUCGACAGUAAUGUUCAUGAACUUUAAUGUUCAUGAACAAUUCAUGAACAAGAAAGGUUCAUGAGCAUUUAAAUGUUCAUGAACAACAAUGAUCAUGAACCCUUUCUUGUUCAUG
rnacentral:sRNA from 1 species